rnacentral:misc_RNA from 1 species
CGAACAACCCUACAUAAUCGGCGCAGAGACAUUUGCGCAGCGUACAGGAUUCGCUUAUAGUCUAGGAGCAUAGACAAUGAACAAGCAGUACGAAUCUGCCUUUAUGAGGAACAGUAUCGUUCAACGGUUUUUCAUAUUAGAAACACGAUAAUGUGGACGUGCUACGGAAUAGUUACCUAUUUAAACGUUACGAUUUUCGUGUUUAGCAAGUGUUUGUGCAAUUGAAUUCUUCCCUGACGUACAUCGUGAUACACAAAGAAGUUUAUUCCAGUGAUACAGUUCUUCGUAAAUUCUUUUCCAUGCUGUUACGGAUAUCGGUUACAUCACUGUUGUUUACAAAACACGAGUUUCGGCUGAUUAGUUGGUUACAAAAAAAGAACAAUAACAACAAAGAACCGAUUCGGAAGGACGAACCUUUCGUUUAUAUCCGAAUCUCUCAUCAAACAGGUCAUAUUGUAGGAUGUCGGCAUACUUUCCGCGGUGAACAUAUGAACGCACAAAAGAUAUAUGGAUGCUGACAUUAUUUCGUUUAACCGAAUCAUCGAGCAACACAAACAAUUCUUUUUCACGUUAUUAUUAUUUCACAUUAUAAAAUAUGUUAAUUAUUUUUCGAUAUAAUUGCCGUUUGCAUCAAUCCAUAUUUGGCAACGCGUGACAAGUUCCUUCAUUCCGUCAGCGAAGAAUUCUGCUGGGUACUUCUAGUAAACCUGUGACACACAACUUCACUGCUCUCUUAACUUCAUUUUCACACUUGAAAUGAGUUGCCCAUCUCGUUAUUUUCCAUUUAUAAUUUGUAUAAAAUGAAACUAAAUCGUCACAGCGAUCUCUGUAUUAUCGUCUGCUUAUACUCUAACUCGCACCUCUUGCGGCCACAUCUGCACGCUGCUUGAACGGAAAAAAAUAAAGCGCUACUGAAACCUCUCGAAACGAAUUUCUUUGUGUAUGCUGUUACUUUUCUAGCGAUAUUUGUAUUUCACAUUCCGAUUGCCGCUCAUGGGUUGGAUCACUUAAUAACAGGAAUACAAGCCCCCUUGAUACCAUUCAAUUUCUAUAUGAAACUUUCUUCCCUAUUUUUUAUAUGUAUAGAAAUAAUAGCGCGUAUAUCCUUAAAAUGGACAUACUAUAUACUUCAUGAGUUAUGGCUUGUGACUGUUUAGUGUAAUCAUAACGGUAUCUACGUGUAGACUCUAUCUUAGAAAACAGUGACAUUUCAAAAAGGAUAUGAAAUUGAAGUUAUAUUUCGAUUGCGACGAACCAAGAAUCUAAUCCUUCUGACCAUAUGUUUCACCGAGGGUCAAAAGGUAAUGUGAAAUAAUGUUUAAUAGCAAUUCGAUGUCACUAAAAAUGUCGCAUAGUCACUAAAGACGGUGAUGCGUAUGAUUUCGAUAUCCAAUUUUGCAGAGAUUUCUCGUAGUUAAUCUGUUGACCAACUGAACCCGUCUAACCUUUCUUACUAUCCACUUCACACCUUAGAAGUUGGGGAAAAAGUACUAUUGCCGAAUAAGAGGAAAUCGAGA